rnacentral:misc_RNA from 1 species
GAUGAAGAACGUAGCGAAAUGCGAUAAGUAAUGUGAAUUGCAGAAUUCAGUGAAUCAUCGAAUCUUUGAACGCACCUUGCGCCCUUUGGCCAUUCCGAAGGGCAUGCCUGUUUGAGUAUCAUGAACACCUCAACUCUUUAUGGUUUUCCAUGAUGAGCUUGGACUCUGGGGGUUUUGCUGGCUCACAGUCGGCUCCUCUAAAAUGAAUCAGCUUACCAGUGUUUGGUGGGUAUCAUGGGUGUGAUAACUAUCUACGCUCGUGGUUUUUCCACCAGGUAACCUUCAGCAGUGGAGGUUCGCUGGAGCUCAUAGAUGUCUCUCCUCAGUGAGGACAGCCCUUUGAAUGUUUGAUCUCAAAUCAGGUAGGACUACCCGCUGAACUUAAGCAUAUCAAUAAGCGGAGGA